rnacentral:misc_RNA from 1 species
CAUCCAAAUUUGUUGAAACCCCUACUAUCUAAAUCUGUCCCAAACCUAACUAGAAAUCACCCUUUGAGAUCCAUACCCACUACAAAUCUGAUUAACACUACCCACAUACUACUCAAACCCUCUUAUUUUCUUAUCUUUUGCUUUUUCUUUUUCCUUUUUUUUUUUUUCCAAUAAAUUUAUUUAAGGUCAACACAAAUGGGUUGGAUACCUGAACCCAUAAUAGGACAAAAAAUAUUCAUAUAAAAGGUCAAAAGACAUAAAGACCAUAAAAUCAAAUAAUCAUUCAUUUUU